CGACGUGAUCCAUGCCUUCAAACCAAACCCCAAGUCCCACAUCCAGGAGUACUGGAGGGUCUUCGACUUCCUGUCGCACCACCCUGAGAGCUUGCACACCUUCUUCUUCCUCUUCGAUGAUGUCGGUGUUCCGUCGGACUACCGGCACAUGGAAGGCUUUGGUGUCAACACCUACACUUUCAUCAACAGGGAGGGAAAGGUCCAUUACGUGAAGUUCCACUGGAAGCCAACUUGUGGAGUGAGCUGUUUGCUGGAAGAAGAGGCAAUAGUUGUUGGUGGCAAGAACCACAGCCACGCCA
rnacentral:lncRNA from 1 species